CACGUAGGGCGCAAGCGUUGUCCGGAAUUAUUGGGCGUAAAGAGCUCGUAGGCGGUCUGUUGCGUCCGCUGUGAAAACCCGGGGCUUAACCCUGGGCUGGCAGUGGAUACGGACAGACUAGAGGUAGGUAGGGGAGAAUGGAAUUCCCGGUGUAGCGGUGAAAUGCGCAGAUAUCGGGAGGAACACCAGUGGCGAAGGCGGCGACCUGGACGGACACUGACGCUGAGACGCGAAAGCGUGGGGAGCAAACAGG
rnacentral:rRNA from 1 species